AUUCGCCUGUUUAACAAAAACAUGUC
rnacentral:sRNA from 1 species